GGGGAUGUGGCUCAGAGGCAGAGCAUAUGCCUAUAACACAUGAGGCCCUGGGUUCACUCUCCACCACCACCA
rnacentral:tRNA from 1 species